GACGAACGCUGGCGGCGUGCUUAACACAUGCAAGUCGAACGGAAAGGCCCUGCUUUUGUGGGGUGCUCGAGUGGCGAACGGGUGAGUAACAGGUGAGUAACCUGCCCUUGACUUUGGGAUAACUUAAGGAAACUGGGGCUAAUACCGGAUAGGAGCUCCUGCUGCAUGGAGGGGGUUGGAAAGUUUCGGCGGUUGGGGAUGGACGCGCGGCUUAUCAGCUUGUUGGUGGGGUAGUGGCUUACCAAGGCUUUGGCGGGUAGCCGGCCUGAGAGGGUGACCGGCCACAUUGGGACUGAGAUACGGCCCAGACUCCUACGGGAGGCAGCAGUGGGGAAUAUUGCACAAUGGGCGGAAGCCUGAUGCAGCAACGCCGCGUGCGGGAUGACGGCCUUCGGGUUGUAAACCGCUUUCGCCUGUGACGAAGCGUGAGUGACGGUAAUGGGUAAAGAAGCACCGGCUAACUACGUG
rnacentral:rRNA from 1 species